rnacentral:rRNA from 1 species
AUUGAACGCUGGCGGCAUGCCUUACACAUGCAAGUCGAACGGCAGCACGGGGGCAACCCUGGUGGCGAGUGGCGAACGGGUGAGUAAUGCAUCGGAACGUGCCCAGUAGUGGGGGAUAACCAGUCGAAAGACUGGCUAAUACCGCAUACGACCUACGGGUGAAAGCGGGGGACCGUAAGGCCUCGCGCUAUUGGAGCGGCCGAUGUCUGAUUAGCUAGUUGGCGGGGUAAGAGCCCACCAAGGCGACAAUCAGUAGCUGGUCUGAGAGGACGACCAGCCACACUGGGACUGGGACACGGCCCAGACUCCUACGGGAGGCAGCAGUGGGGAAUUUUGGACAAUGGGCGCAAGCCUGAUCCAGCCAUGCCGCGUGCGGGAAGAAGGCCGUCGGGUUGUAAAGCACUUUAAGUUGGGAGGAAGGGCAGUAAGUUAAUACCUUGCUGUUUUGACGUUACCGACAGAAUAAGCACCGGCUAACUUCGUGCCAGCAGCCGCGGUAAUAC